rnacentral:rRNA from 1 species
CCUACGGGAGGCAGCAGUAGGGAAUCUUCCGCAAUGGACGAAAGUCUGACGGAGCGACGCCGCGUGAACGAUGAAGGCCUUCGGGUCGUAAAGUUCUGUUGUUAGGGAAGAACAAGUGCUAGUUGAAUAAGCUGGCACCUUGACGGUACCUAACCAGAAAGCCACGGCUAACUACGUGCCAGCAGCCGCGGUAAUACGUAGGUGGCAAGCGUUGUCCGGAAUUAUUGGGCGUAAAGCGCGCGCAGGCGGUUUCUUAAGUCUGAUGUGAAAGCCCCCGGCUCAACCGGGGAGGGUCAUUGGAAACUGGGAAACUUGAGUGCAGAAGAGGGAAGUGGAAUUCCAAGUGUAGCGGUGAAAUGCGUAGAGAUUUGGAGGAACACCAGUGGCGAAGGCGACUUUCUGGUCUGUAACUGACGCUGAGGCGCGAAAGCGUGGGGAGCAAACAGGAUUAGAUACCCUGGUAGUCCACGCUGUAAACGAUGAGUGCUAAGUGUUAGAGGGUUUCCGCCCUUUAGUGCUGAAGUUAACGCAUUAAGCACUCCGCCUGGGGAUACGGUCGCAAGACUGAAACUCAAAUGAAUUGACGG